rnacentral:tRNA from 1 species
AACAUAAUAGUUGGAUUCUCUGAUAUAGAAUCUAGGGGCUUCCCUUAUGUUA